AGAGUUUGAUCCUGGCUCAGGAUGAACGCUGGCGGCGUGCCUAAUACAUGCAAGUCGAGCGGUAACAUAGGGAGCUUGCUCCCUGAUGACGAGCGGCGGACGGCUGAGUAACGCGUAGGAACGUACCCCAAACUGAGGGAUAAGCACCAGAAAUGGUGUCUAAUACCGCAUGUGCUCUACGGAGUAAAGCUUCGGCGGUUUGGGAACGGCCUGCGUAAGAUUAGCUUGUUGGUGAGGUAAUGGCUCACCAAGGCGACGAUCUUUAGCUGGUCUGAGAGGAUGAUCAGCCAGACUGGGACUGAGACACGGCCCAGACUCCUACGGGAGGCAGCAGUAGGGAAUUUUCCACAAUGGGCGAAAGCCUGAUGGAGCAACGCCGCGUGCAGGAUGAAGGCCCUCGGGUCGUAAACUGCUUUUAUAUGUGAAGAUUUUGACGGUAGCAUAUGAAUAAGGAUCGGCUAACUCCGUGCCAGCAGCCGCGGUCAUACGGAGGAUCCAAGCGUUAUCCGGAAUUACUGGGCGUAAAGAGUUGCGUAGGCGGCACUGUAAGUAGGGCGUGAAAGCGUGUGGCUCAACCAUAUACACAUGUCCUAAACUGCAGAGCUAGAAUAUAGAAGAGGUAGCUGGAAUUCCUUGUGUAGGAGUGAAAUCCGUAGAUAUAAGGAGGAACCCGAUGGCGUAGGCAGGCUACUGGUCUAUUAUUGACGCUAAGGCACGAAAGCGUGGGGAGCAAACGGGAUUAGAUACCCUAGUAGUCC
rnacentral:rRNA from 1 species